rnacentral:lncRNA from 1 species
CAAACCCAAGGUUCACGGCCAGCGGGCAAACUCGCCCACCACACCUCGGUCUCCUAAGACCCUUUCCUUGGCAAUCCAAUGAAAGCUCGGUGGAACGACAAAAGCUACAACUCAGCGUGCACAUGACACCGCCACUUGUGCUUCCUAGGAGGGUGAGAGGAGAUGAGGCAGGUGCCACUAAUCCACCCUAAAAAUAGGGAGAAGGAUGAGCUUUCGUGUCGGGGGUUGGGGUGUUCACACUUAAACAUAAAUCAACUGGCAAAUUCAGCCCAACUCACGUGCUGGCCCUGUCCACACAGACGUCGACUCCAGCAAAAAUGUCCUGACUGACUUCAGGAGAGAGGAAUUAUUGCUACGUGCCUCUUUCCCAGUGAAGAAAAUCUCUGUUGGCUGCGAGCAGAGAAGCGGCGGAAGGAUUCCCGACUCCGGGAAGCCAGGUGUCGGAAGGAGGAAGUACGCUUGAAGGGGGUCCGGCUGGCCGACUCUGCACUCGUCCGUUCGUGGCCCACCGUGGUGGUCACCAAAUUGAGGGCUUCCUGGAAGGACCUCCUCACGGUGCCCAUCCACUGGGUCAUGUGGGUCUGGGCCACUGUGAGUUUAUCUCCCAGGUAAUCCAUGGGGCCAGCCAGGAGGAGAGGGAAGAAGGAAGUUAGGGAGGGAGAGAGCAAUUAAAACGCCAGUGUCCUCUUGCCUCUUUGGACUCUUUUGCUCAUGGAAGUUUUGGGCUUGCUUGGAGGAAAAAAAAUUAAAAACAGCAGCUUUCUUCAGGCAAACCAAGGGUAAGUAAACAUCCCUGAGCCAGGAGCCGGCUGCAUCCACGGGUGCCGCUCAGAAUUAAGAGGCAGCUAAGUGCCAGGCUGGGAGUCCACCCCAGCGGAGUUAUAAAGUCAACACACUGGGCAGUCCAGGUUCC